GAUGAACGCUGGCGGCGUGCCUAAUACAUGCAAGUCGAGCGAACGGACGAGAAGCUUGCUUCUCUGAUGUUAGCGGCGGACGGGUGAGUAACACGUGGAUAACCUACCUAUAAGACUGGGAUAACUUCGGGAAACCGGAGCUAAUACCGGAUAAUAUUUUGAACCGCAUGGUUCAAAAGUGAAAGACGGUCUUGCUGUCACUUAUAGAUGGAUCCGCGCUGCAUUAGCUAGUUGGUAAGGUAACGGCUUACCAAGGCAACGAUGCAUAGCCGACCUGAGAGGGUGAUCGGCCACACUGGAACUGAGACACGGUCCAGACUCCUACGGGAGGCAGCAGUAGGGAAUCUUCCGCAAUGGGCGAAAGCCUGACGGAGCAACGCCGCGUGAGUGAUGAAGGUCUUCGGAUCGUAAAACUCUGUUAUUAGGGAAGAACAUAUGUGUAAGUAACUGUGCACAUCUUGACGGUACCUAAUCAGAAAGCCACGGCUAACUACGUGCCAGCAGCCGCGGUAAUACGUAGGUGGCAAGCGUUAUCCGGAAUUAUUGGGCGUAAAGCGCGCGUAGGCGGUUUUUUAAGUCUGAUGUGAAAGCCCACGGCUCAACCCGUGGAGGGUCAUUGGAAACUGGAAAACUUGAGUGCAGAAGAGGAAAGUGGAAUUCCAUGUGUAGCGGUGAAAUGCGCAGAGAUAUGGAGGAACACCAGUGGCGAAGGCGACUUUCUGGUCUGUAACUGACGCUGAUGUGCGAAAGCGUGGGGAUCAAACAGGAUUAGAUACCCUGGUAGUCCACGCCGUAAACGAUGAGUGCUAAGUGUUAGGGGGUUUCCGCCCCUUAGUGCUGCAGCUAACGCAUUAAGCACUCCGCCUGGGGAGUACGACCGCAAGGUUGAAACUCAAAGGAAUUGACGGGGACCCGCACAAGCGGUGGAGCAUGUGGUUUAAUUCGAAGCAACGCGAAGAACCUUACCAAAUCUUGACAUCCUUUGACAACUCUAGAGAUAGAGCUUUCCCCUUCGGGGGACAAAGUGACAGGUGGCGCAUGGUUGUCGUCAGCUCGUGUCGUGAGAUGUUGGGUUAAGUCCCGCAACGAGCGCAACCCUUAAGCUUAGUUGCCAUCAUUAAGUUGGGCACUCUAAGUUGACUGCCGGUGACAAACCGGAGGAAGGUGGGGAUGACGUCAAAUCAUCAUGCCCCUUAUGAUUUGGGCUACACACGUGCUACAAUGGACAAUACAAAGGGCAGCGAAACCGCGAGGUCAAGCAAAUCCCAUAAAGUUGUUCUCAGUUCGGAUUGUAGUCUGCAACUCGACUACAUGAAGCUGGAAUCGCUAGUAAUCGUAGAUCAGCAUGCUACGGUGAAUACGUUCCCGGGUCU
rnacentral:rRNA from 1 species